UAUUUUGACUAUACAAAGGUAUUGUAAUAAGGUUUUAAUUGAAUGCUAAGAGAAUGAAUUAACAAAAAAAAUCUUUUUUGAUAUUAACAAUUGAAGUUAUUUUUGUAUGUGAAGAAACAACAAUAAAAUUUAAGGACAAGAAGACCCUAAGAAUUUUUUUUUCCAAUUAAAAAUCUUUUUUAAUUGGAAAUUUAAUUGGGGCGAUUUAAAAAAAUUUAAAACUUUUUAAAAAAAAAAUAUGAUCCAAUAUUAUUGAUCUUCUGAAAAAAAUACUCUAGGGAUAACAGCGUAAUAAUUUUUGAUAGUUCUUAUAGACAAAAUAGUUUGCGACCUCGAUGUUGGAUUAGGAUUCUUAUUUAAUGAAGAAGUUAAAAAAAGAAGUUUGUUCAACUUUUAAAAUCC
rnacentral:rRNA from 1 species